GUAUAAUUAUAAAGUGAAUCUUCUUCUAAUUAAUGUUGAUCAAUAUACAGGUCAUGCUAGUUUUCUCUGAUUCACAUAUUAGUAAAUAAGCUCUGAUAUUUUAAGGAUUUUUUUGUCUUCAUUAUAAUUUAUGGCAUUUAUAAACAAGAUUUUUUUAAUUAUAUAUACAUUUUUCGACAAUAUAAAUAGCGACAAAAAUAAAAUAUUUUAUUUUGUAGUGAAUACUAGAAGCAUCACCAGCACAAUGAAAUUGUUUGUCGUCUUAUGUUUCGUGGCUGUUGCCUGCGCAGCUCCACCUUAUGAAGGCGCUGAGGUCCUUCGCUACGAAAACGAUAACAUUGGAACUGGAACAUACAGAUUUGCUGUUGAACAAUCUGACGGCACACAACAGGAAGCAGUCGGUGAGCUAAAGAAUGGUGAAGUUGCGGUAGUCAAGGGAUCAUACUCAUGGAACGCUCCCGAUGGUUUAAGAUAUGUCGUUACAUACGAAGCUGAUGAACUAGGAUACCGCUCAACCAUCGACAAACAAGGCGUAGCCAAUACUAAAUACACUUCCGUUGUCUAAUUUCCGUACUGAUCCGUUGAUAUUAUGUUAAC